rnacentral:rRNA from 1 species
AGGGAUAAGGGGUGCCACCAUCAGGUGGCCGCAGAGAAUAGGCCCAAGCGACUGUUUACCAAAAACAUAGGUUUCUGCUAAGUCGCAAGACGAUGUAUAGGAGCUGACGCCUGCCCGGUGCUGGAAGGUUAAGGGGAUCUGUUAGAGCAAUCGAAGCAGUGAACUUAAGCCCCAGUAAACGGCGGCCGUAACUAUAACGGUCCUAAGGUAGCGAAAUUCCUUGUCGGGUAAGUUCCGACCCGCACGAAAGGCGUAACGAUUUGGGCACUGUCUCAACAACAGACUCGGUGAAAUUGUAAUUCCGGUGAAGAUGCCGGAUACCUGCGACAGGACGGAAAGACCCCAUGGAGCUUUACUGUAGCUUGACAUUGGGUCUUGGUACUACAUGUACAGGAUAGGUGGGAGGCUUUGAAACCAGGACGCCAGUUUUGGCGGAGCCAUCCUUGGGAUACCACCCUUGUAGUACUGGGACUCUAACCAUAGGCCAUGAAUCUGGUCUUGG